UACAGAGGUCUCAAGCGUUGUUCGGAUUCAUUGGGCGUAAAGGGUGCGUAGGUGGUGGGGUAAGCCGGAUGUGAAAUCCCGGGGCUCAACCCCGGAACUGCAUUCGAUACUGCCUUGCUCGAGUACUGGAGAGGAGACUGGAAUUUACGGUGUAGCAGUGAAAUGCGUAGAUAUCGUAAGGAAGACCAGUGGCGAAGGCGAGUCUCUGGACAGUUACUGACACUGAGGCACGAAGGCCAGGGGAGCAAACGGG
rnacentral:rRNA from 1 species